rnacentral:rRNA from 1 species
AGAGUUUGAUCCUGGCUCAGGACGAACGCUGGCGGCGUGCUUAACACAUGCAAGUCGAACGAUGAAGUUCUCUUCGGAGAAUGGAUUAGUGGCGAACGGGUGAGGAACACGUGAAGAAUCUGCCCUCCACUUUGGGAUAACUCCGGGAAACCGGGGCUAAUACCGAAUAUUGAAGCAUAAGCGGCAUCGCUGAGCUUUGAAAGAAUUUCGGUGRAGGAUGACUUCGCGGCCUAUCAGCUUGUUGGUGAGGUAAUGGCUCACCAAGGCUACGACGGGUAUCCGGCCUGAGAGGGCGACCGGACACACUGGGACUGAGACACGGCCCAGACUCCUACGGGAGGCAGCAGUGGGGAAUAUUGGGCAAUGGACGCAAGUCUGACCCAGCGACGCCGCGUGAGGGAUGAAGGCCUUCGGGUUGUAAACCUCUUUCAGUAGGGAAGAAGCGAAAGUGACGGUACCUACAAAAGAAGCACCGGCUAACUAUGUGCCAGCAGCCGCGGUAAUACAUAGGGUGCAAGCGUUGUCCGGAUUUAUUGGGCGUAAAGAACUCGUAGGUGGUUUGUUACGUCGGGUGUGAAACUCUGGGGCUCAACCCCAGACCUGCAUCCGAUACGGGCAGACUAGAGUGUGGUAGGGGAGACUGGAAUUCCUGGUGUAGCGGUGGAAUGCGCAGAUAUCAGGAGGAACACCAAUGGCGAAGGCAGGUCUCUGGGCCAUUACUGACACUGAGGAGUGAAAGUGUGGGGAGCGAACAGG